AGAAAGGGAAGACUAUCCGCUGUCAACAGAAACAACUUGGAGGGUGUUUGAGCAAAGCUAGAUUUUAAUGGAAAUAGGCAUCAAGUGGGACCAAACUCAGUCAAUCUGACUCUGAAUAUACCCAAUCCAAUUUCUUUUACAACUUCUGUGAAAGCGGAAGUUCUUGAUGAGCUGCAAUUAAGACUUAGCUGUAAAAAAAGUUAUUAAAUAAAUUUCUUCUUUCUGUCCUCUUGCCGAACAGCUAAUCUAGAUAUUAAAUAAAUAUCUUUUGUAAUGUUUAGAGGUGUACAGAGGUUAGAUAGUGUCCAUGAUUCGUCCAACACAUUUUGAAGAAAUCAAAUAUUUGUAAAGAUUUUCCUGUUCAGUUCGUGAAUACUAAAAUGAACUUUCAUAUGUCCA